AGCGAACGCUGGCGGCAGGCUUAACACAUGCAAGUCGAGCGCCCCGCAAGGGGAGCGGCAGACGGGAGAGUAACACGUGGGAACGUACCCUUUAGUUCGGAACAACCCAGGGAAACUUGGGCUAAUACCGGAUACGUCCGUAAGGAGAAAGAUUUAUCGCUAAAGGAUCGGCCCGCGUCUGAUUAGCUAGUUGGUGAGGUAACGGCUCACCAAGGCGACGAUCAGUAGGUGGUCUGAGAGGAUGAUCAGCCUCACUGGGACUGAGACACGGCCCAGACUCCUACGGGAGGCAGCAGUGGGGAAUAUUGGACAGUGGGCGCAAGCCUGAGCCAGCCAUGCCGCGUGGGUGAUGAAGGCCCUAGGGUUGUAAAGCCCUUUCGGCGGGGAAGAUAAUGACGGUACCCGCAGAAGAAGCCCCGGCUAACUUCGUGCCAGCAGCCGCGGUAA
rnacentral:rRNA from 1 species